AAGCUUCAUAACUAUAUAUAUAAUAUAUAUAAUAUAUAUAUCACCUUGGAGCAAUUAGAGCUGAAAGAUCGAGAGAUGGGAAAGAAGAUGGGUGUGGUUGUUCUGAUCCUGAUUUCGUUCGUCUUAAUCAUCUCGUUGUCAAAUGCUCUAUCUAAUUAUAAGACCGGAAAUCGUGCAAAUGGGACGAGAUCACAUCUUCCACCAAAGAUGCUUAAGCACGGUUAAAGCAGCUACAUGUUUGAUGUUUCAAAUGGAUGUUGUUGUGUUGUUUACCUAGGACAGGACUGUUUGUAUCAUUAUCAGAUACUUACAUCAUCAUCUAUCUAUAUGUAUGCAUGCAUGCUUCUUAAUUCAAUAAUGAUCUAAUGCUAUA